UUAAAUUGAAGAGUUUGAUCAUGGCUCAGAUUGAACGCUGGCGGCAGGCCUAACACAUGCAAGUCGAACGGUAACAGGAAGCAGCUUGCUGCUUCGCUGACGAGUGGCGGACGGGUGAGUAAUGUCUGGGAAACUGCCUGAUGGAGGGGGAUAACUACUGGAAACGGUGGCUAAUACCGCAUAACGUCGCAAGACCAAAGAGGGGGACCUUCGGGCCUCUUGCCAUCAGAUGUGCCCAGAUGGGAUUAGCUUGUUGGUGAGGUAACGGCUCACCAAGGCGACGA
rnacentral:rRNA from 1 species